rnacentral:rRNA from 1 species
AGUGAACGCUGGCGGUAGGCCUAACACAUGCCAGUCGAACGGCAGCACAGUAAGAGCUUGCUCUUACGGGUGGCGAGUGGCGGACGGGUGAGGAAUACAUCGGAAUCUACUUUUUCGUGGGGGAUAACGUAGGGAAACUUACGCUAAUACCGCAUACGACCUACGGGUGAAAGCAGGGGAUCUUCGGACCUUGCGCGAUUGAAUGAGCCGAUGUCGGAUUAGCUAGUUGGCGGGGUAAAGGCCCACCAAGGCGACGAUCCGUAGCUGGUCUGAGAGGAUGAUCAGCCACACUGGAACUGAGACACGGUCCAGACUCCUACGGGAGGCAGCAGUGGGGAAUAUUGGACAAUGGGCGCAAGCCUGAUCCAGCCAUACCGCGUGUGUGAAGAAGGCCUUCGGGUUGUAAAGCCCUUUUGUUGGGAAAGAAAAGCAGCAGGUUAAUACCCCGCUGUUCUGACGGUACCAAAAGAAUAAGCACCGGCUAACUUCGUG